rnacentral:rRNA from 1 species
AUGCCGUUCCGAGUGUCGAUCUAUGCCGACGACGUCAUUGCCUUCAUCAACCCAUUUAACUCUAAGAUGCACGCGGCAGUACGCCUCCUCGAAGCGUUUCAAGAGGUCUCGGGCCUGAAGGCGAAUUGGGACAAGAGCGCGGCCACGCCCAUUCGCUGCGAGGCGAUCGCCGUGGAGGCCGCCAUCGAAGGUACCAACUGCUCCUCCAAGGCGUUCCCAAUUACCUACCUUGGGCUGCCCCUCUCGGACGGUCGCCUACGAAGAGAAGACCUGCAGCCAGUCCUGGACAGUCUGGCCAAGCGACUCAGAGGAUGGAAGGCCGAGCUUAUCGUGUUGCCGGGCCGGAUCGAGCUUGUCCGAACUACACUCACCGCCAUGGCCAUCUACAGGUUGAUGGCGAUUGCACCGCCGGCUUGGUUCAUAAGAUUGGUAGACCGGCUGCGGCGCGGAUUCCUCUGGGCAGCAGAUGAGACGGCACCGGCAGGCAGGUGCUUAGUGCGGUGGAAGGAGGUUUGCCGGCCACGGGAGUUUGGGGGCCUCAGGGUCCACGACCUGAAGAUGCAAGGUGCUGCACUGAGGGCAAGAUGGCAAUGGAGCAAAUGGACUGACGAUACGCGCCCCUGGCAGGAUUUGAUCAUGACCAGUGACCCAGCGGCGGAGGGCGUCUUCCGGGCUGCCAUGGAGAUCACAAUCGGAGACAGGCGCAAGACAAAUUUCUGGAGAUCACACUGGGCUCAGGGCUGCCGGCCAGCAGACAGAUGGCCAAAUCUCUUUGGACACUGCAAUGGCCGCCGUCUCCGUCUUUCACUCAGAGACGCAAUCAGCAAUGACAAGUGGCUAAAUUAUGUCAAGGCCAACCCACCUCCGGUGGUGCUGCACGAGCUCUGUGAGCUGUGGGAAGUGACAAGGAACAUAAAUUUCACUGACGGCCUGCCAGACAACAUUAGAUGGAAGUGGACGACCUCGGUAGAGUACUCGGCGGUGUCUGCGUACAGGAUGCAGUUCCAGGGAUCAAUCCCAACCAAUGACAAGUCGUUGAUCUGGAGCGCAAAGGCUGCCCCAAGAGCAAAGGUGUUUUCUUGGCUCCUCCUGAGAGGGAAGUGCCUCACGGCAGAUAACCUGACGAUGAGACAGAUUCCACACGGCCCGCUAUGCCCGCUUUGUCAUAACGAGCCGGAAACAGCACGGCACCUGAUCGCGGGCUGCACCUUCUCGAAGCAGGUUUGGGCAUCAACGGCAGCCUUGCUUGGCCCUCCUUUUGCUGCAAUUUACAUGAACACGAAUGUACGCCUCAGAGACAGGUUCAGGAGACAGAUCAGCUCCAUCCCGAGACGCAACAGACCAACAUGGCGUGCAACUUGCCUCCUCGUCUCCUGGUGCCUCUGGAAAGAGCGCAAGCACGAGUCUUCGAAGGGAAAACCUGCAAUGUGA